UGGGGAAUAUUGCACAAUGGAGGGAACUCUGAUGCAGCGACGCCGCGUGAACGAAGAAGGCUUUCGAGUCGUAAAGUUCUUUUAUAUGGGAAGAUAAUGACGGUACCAUAAGAAAAAGCCCCGGCUAACUACGUGCCAGCAGCCGCGGUAAUACGUAGGGGGCUAGCGUUGUCCGGAAUCACUGGGCGUAAAGGGUUCGCAGGCGGAAAUGCAAGUCAGGUGUAAAAGGCAGUAGCUUAACUACUGUAAGCAUUUGAAACUGCAUAUCUUGAGAAGAGUAGAGGUAAGUGGGAUUUUUAGUGUAGCGGUGAAAUACGUAGAUAUUAAAAAGAAUACCGGUGGCGAAGGCGACUUACUGGGCUCAUUCUGACGCUGAGGAACGAAAGCGUAGGUAGCAAACAGG
rnacentral:rRNA from 1 species